rnacentral:rRNA from 1 species
AGUGGACGCAUCACUGGUGUUCGGGUUGUCAUGCCAAUGGCAUUGCCCGGUAGCUAAAUGCGGAAGAGAUAAGUGCUGAAAGCAUCUAAGCACGAAACUUGCCCCGAGAUGAGUUCUCCCUGAGACUAUAAGUCUCCUGAAGGAACGUUGAAGACGACGACGUUGAUAGGCCGGGUGUGUAAGCGCAGCGAUGCGUUGAGCUAACCGGUACUAAUGAACCGUGAGGCUUAACCUUACAACGCCGAAGGUGUUU